rnacentral:rRNA from 1 species
CAGUCGCCGCGGUAAUACGUAGGUCCCGAGCGUUGUCCGGAUUUAUUGGGCGUAAAGCGAGCGCAGGCGGUUUGAUAAGUCUGAAGUUAAAGGCUGUGGCUCAACCAUAGUUCGCUUUGGAAACUGUCAAACUUGAGUGCAGAAGGGGAGAGUGGAAUUCCAUGUGUAGCGGUGAAAUGCGUAGAUAUAUGGAGGAACACCGGUGGCGAAAGCGGCUCUCUGGUCUGUAACUGACGCUGAGGCUCGAAAGCGUGGGGAGCGAACAGGAUUAGAUACCCGCGUAGUCCCUGUCUCUUAUACC